rnacentral:tRNA from 1 species
GCCGGAGUGGCGGAAUUGGUAGACGCAGUUGAUUCAAAAUCAACCGCUUUCGGGUUUGCCGGUUCGAGUCCGGCCUUCGGCACCA